rnacentral:rRNA from 1 species
UACGUAGGUGGCGAGCGUUGUCCGGAUUUACUGGGCGUAAAGAGCGCGCAGGCGGUCGUUCAAGUCGCGUGUGAAAGCCCCCGGCUCAACUGGGGAGGGUCACGCGAUACUGAUCGACUCGAAGGCAGGAGAGGGUAGUGGAAUUCCCGGUGUAGUGGUGAAAUGCGUAGAUAUCGGGAGGAACACCAGUGGCGAAAGCGACUUCCUGGUCCAGCAUCGACGUUCAGGCACGAAAGCGUGGGGAGCAAACAGG